GCUCGACUGUCUCCGUGGCGCAAUUGGCUAGCGCGUUCGGCUGAUAACCAAAAGGUUGGAGGUUCGAGCCCUCCCGAGAGCG